rnacentral:rRNA from 1 species
AUGGCUGCCAGGAAGAAGAUCGUGGUGAAGGUUGAGGUAGACGACAGCCAGAGCAGGAAGGCGAUCAAAGCACUCUCUACUCUCCGUGGUACUACUACAACUUCUCUUCUUUCCAGUUUUGUUUGUGAAUCCGUUUCUGACGUGGACAACAACGUACGGGCCUCAGGUAUCGAGGUGAUUUCUGUGAACACGAAGCAUGGGAAGAUCACGGUCGUCGGCGUGGUUAACCCCGUCGAUGUCCUGGGCAGGCUGCGGAAGAAGUUGUUUCCGAACGCUGAGAUCGUCGCCGUCGAGCCCGUCAUGGAGACGAACGAAAUUACAUACGAGUUCUUGAACCAUAUCACAAACAAUUUCUCCGAGGAGCGCAUAAUUGGUCGUGGUGGCCAUGGAGUAGUUUUCAAGGUACUGUACGAUUACUACUAG